GCGGGUCUUCCCGCCGCCUUAGCAAGCGGGCACCGGGUUCAGGGAAGGAUGUCCAACGGCCGUAAACGCCAGCACAACCUAGUGCUUGCAUUCGCGGCGCUAUCUCCGGUGGUGGUGUCGUGAAGCGGUCUUUGCAUGGACCGCACAAUGAAACGGUACAUCUGUAUUGUAAUCGUUGUAUCUGGUGCGUUGCUGUCAUCAGGAAAGGGAAACUGGGAAAUUUCCGGUAACUCCAUAUCUGUUGUCAUCAACACAGCAGGCAAGUAAGCCAGGCGACCGCCCCCUUUGGGGCGGUUUCCUUU
rnacentral:sRNA from 1 species